UCUUCAGUGGGGUCAAUCCUGACCAACUGUAGUAUAUGAUGAAAGUGCAAGAUGAAUCCUGUGAUUCAUUGCACGCGGUUGAAGGGACAUCGCAACGCUCUUCAACCGACUUAUCUGAU